AGAGUUUGAUCCUGGCUCAGGAUGAACGCUAGCGAUAGGCCUAACACAUGCAAGUCGAGGGGCAUCACAUGAAGCAGCAAUGCGGAUGGUGGCGACCGGCGCACGGGUGAGUAACGCGUAUGCAAUCUACCUACAACAGGGGAAUAACCCGUUGAAAGACGGACUAAUGCCCCAUAAUACAGGGGUCCCGCAUGGGAAUAUUUGUUAAAGAUUUAUCGGUUGUAGAUGAGCAUGCGUUCCAUUAGCUGGUUGGUGAGGUAACGGCCCACCAAGGCAACGAUGGAUAGGGGAACUGAGAGGUUUAUCCCCCACACUGGUACUGAGACACGGACCAGACUCCUACGGGAGGCAGCAGUGGGGGAUAUUGCACAAUGGAGGAAACUCUGAUGCAGCAACGCCGCGUGAGGGAAGAAGGUUUUCGGAUUGUAAACCUCUGUCCUCGGGGACGAUAAUGACGGUACCCGAGGAGGAAGCUCCGGCUAACUACGUGCCAGCAGCCGCGGUAAUACGUAGGUGGCAAGCGUUGUCCGGAUUUACUGGGUGUAAAGGGCGCGUAGGCGGGUAGGCAAGUCAGAUGUGAAAUCUGGAGGCUCAACCUCCAAACUGCAUUUGAAACUGCUUUUCUUGAGUAUCGGAGAGGUAAUCGGAAUUCCUUGUGUAGCGGUGAAAUGCGUAGAUAUAAGGAAGAACACCAGUGGCGAAGGCGGAUUACUGGACGACACUGACGGUGAGGCGCGAAAGCGUGGGAGCAACAAGAUUAGAUACCCUGGUAGUCCACGCUGUAAACGAUCAAUACUAGGUGGUGGCGGGGACUGA
rnacentral:rRNA from 1 species